CCAAUAGCGUAUAUUAAAGUUGUUGCAGUUAAAAAGCUCGUAGUUGAAUUUCGGGAUUAGUACGUUGGUCGUGCCUUAGGUACGUACUGGUGUUACUGGUUCCUACCUUCUGACGAACCAUCAUGUCAUUAAUUUGGUGUGGCGGGGAAUCAGGACUGUUACUUUGAAAAAAUUAGAGUGUUUAAAGCAGGCUCGCGCUUGAAUACAUUAGCAUGGAAUAAUGAAAUAGGACGUUGACCCUAUUUUGUUGGUUUCUAGGAUUGACGUAAUGAUUAAUAGGGUUAGUUGGGGGCAUUAGUAUUCAAUUGUCAGGGGUGAAAUUCUUGGAUUUAUUGAAGACUAACUACUGCGAAAGCAUUUGCCAAGGAUGUUUUCAUUAAUCAAGAACGAAAGUUAGGGGAUCGAAGACGAUCAGAUACCGUCGUAGUCUUAACCAUAAACUAUGCCGACUAGGGAUCGGAUGAUGUUAAUUUUUUAAUGACUCAUUCGGCGCCUUACG
rnacentral:rRNA from 1 species